rnacentral:tmRNA from 1 species
UUUGUUGAAUAUCUUUAAAAUGCUUUUAUAGUAAUAGAGUUGGCUUGCCAACUACGACGAUAAACGAAUUUCGUAAUAACCAUUACGGACGUGGGGGCAGUACCCACCACCUCCACCACUUACAACUUACGGGGGUGAAAUAGGAUCGACGGGUGACUAAAGGCUAUUCUUUCGUUCGGGAUUGUUCCACCGUAACGGGCUAAACUUUAAAUGCUAACGAAAGUUACGCUAUUGCUGCAUAAUUAACUUAGGUUAAUUAUAGAAGCACGGUCUGGGGCACCGGGUAACAGAACGCCCCUUACU